UGGGGAAUAUUGCACAAUGGGCGAAAGCCUGAUGCAGCGACGCCGCGUGAGGGAUGACGGCCUUCGGGUUGUAAACCUCUUUCAGUAGGGACGAAGCGCAAGUGACGGUACCUGCAGAAGAAGCACCGGCUAACUACGUGCCAGCAGCCGCGGUAAUACGUAGGGUGCGAGCGUUGUCCGGAAUUACUGGGCGUAAAGAGCUCGUAGGCGGUUUGUCACGUCGUCUGUGAAAUCCUAGGGCUUAACCCUGGACGUGCAGGCGAUACGGGCUGACUUGAGUACUACAGGGGAGACUGGAAUUUCUGGUGCAGCGGUGGAAUGCACAGAUAUCAGGAAGAACACCGAUGGCGAAGGCAGGUCUCUGGGUAGUAACUGACGCUGAGGAGCGAAAGCAUGGGUAGCGAACAGG
rnacentral:rRNA from 1 species